rnacentral:lncRNA from 1 species
ACUUAAUACCACUUCUUUGCAUCCUGAACCUGAGAAAGUAAUGUAAGCUGCAUCAUAUGACCCUAUGGUUAAUGCAUGACCAGAAACAUCGCUAUUCAGGUCAUUUUAUGGAGUAAAAUUUUCUGAAUGUGCAGUAUGCCCAAUCCAUCAUAACGCAAAAGACUGAACUGCUUGAAUUAUAAAACUGUAUUAAUACAUUAACAUAUAUGCCGCCCACACAGUUCCAUCACCCACAGAUAUUACACAGGGUCACAUCAUUGAUCUUUCACUGACACAAACCAGCUGCACUGUGGGUCGGGACUGCCAUGCAUCACAGGAUGAACAGGAGGUCAGUGGUCAGAUAUGUUUUCAUUUCUAGUCUGAUAUGAUUUUCCAUCUUCAUCUAUCAGAUCUUGUAGUUUAUUUGCGGCCCUGCACACCGCUGCUGUAUCUUCAUUAGAAGCCCAGAGGACGAGAGAUUGGUAUUCAAUCUGUGAUUUUUUUCUUACUCGUGUUACAUGUGCUGAAGAUUUGUUUGCUUUGCAGAGCUCUGGUUAGCUCCAUAGAUUUUUGUGGACUAAUUUAUGACCCAUCACGUCUGCUCACUGAGGUUGCUCUAUUAGUCGUACAGUAUAAAUUGAGAUCCGUGACAUCCUUUGGCCAUCCUUUCUGUCUCAGUUGCCCCGAGCUACCGGCUAAUCCAUGUAACCAAUUAAGAAAACACUUCAUGAGAUACUUAGAGACUGAAAAUGAAGGUGGCAUUGCUGACUCUUGGGGCGUGCUUUAACUGUGAAAUAACAAAUUAGCUCCAUUUGCUCUGAAAAUUCAUUAUCACAAUUUGGGAGGAAAAAAAGCAUGAAAGUCAAAAUUCAUCCUCCGAUCUUUAACUGAAGCGCCAUUGCUCGUUACCAAAUAAAACAGGAAAAUGCGGGAGAUGAGACACCCCUGGCAAACCAAAAACGGGAAGUUAAUUACGCAGCACCUCAUCUGCUCCACUCGUAACCGUGUCUUGUUUUUACUUCUGAAACUUUCUCAAGCAUAAAGACAUUAAUAUCAACUCUCUGUGCGCUUCCCACUUAAGUACUUCUUUUUCUGCCACUUUAGCUUAGAUUAAAAGCAGAAGUGAGUAAAACCUCCCCGCUCUCUUCUCCACCUCCGACACUCCAUCUCAGUUUGUGCCAUUUUCCUCUUUUACUUCCCCCACAUGUGAAUGUUCCCUAACUCUCUUUUUAAUGCCAGUCACUCUACUUCAGCUGGGGCCCAUGAGAGAGGGAGAUGUCUGUGUUUGCGUUCCCUCAUGCAUACACAUGACCACACAGUGAGCGCAGGGAGACUCCUCGGAGAGCUCUAAGUCCUAUUGAGAGUGAUGUCACAUACUCUUCCCCAGUGUCUGUGAACAACAAAUCACCUUCUGCACGUCUAUAAUACAUAUCCCCAUCCACCCCUGGAGGCUUUAUCGGCUAAAUACCCUCAAGCUGGAGAUCCCAGACAUAAGCCCAAGUGUAAAUUUGCUCUGAAGCUUAAAGGACACGUUGCACUGGGAGACAGCCUGAUAAAAGCCACCAUUAGAGCAGCGUUUGGGGCCUUUUCUUUGUAAUGAAGAUGGAGGAAGUGCACUCCAGACAGUGUAGGAAAGCAAACAAACCUUAGCUGUAUUUGAGCUUGGAGCUAUAAAAGGUUAAGGAAAGAGGACAGGAAACACAGAGGACAGCGUUUAUGUAUGUUUGAGCACAUUUUAAGGUUAGAUACAGGUACAUGUACUUCACAUACUGAAUGAUAGUUGAUAUUUACAGACACUGCACUGCAAACACAACAAACAGUCUUUUAUCAUCAGCACAUCAAAUGUGUAAAUUAGCAACAAGCUCCUUAAUUUUCUGACAAUAAACAACUUUUAACCAUAACUGAAGGCUUCAUAUGUGGAGACAAACUUAAUGUUCAGGCUUGUGCACUUAGCACCGCUCCUAAAAUAAUGACGAAAAAAUGUCUUUUGAGAGCAUUCGCAUAUUAUUGCCUGAUAACUAGAGCUAGUUCUUCUUCCAAUCAGCUGGCAAAAAUAAAAUUAAGGUUAAAAACUGGAGAUUAGUCUUAAACAUAGAAUAGCACUCAGUGUAAAUAAAUAUCGGUCUAUUUGUGCUGCUGUGCCAACUCUUCAAACUACAGACACACAAAUUGAUCUCCAAUGACACCAUCCAUUAUUUUAUUUCAAACUUAGGGCUGUAAUCAACCAAAGAAAUUCUUGGUCGACUAAAACCCUGAAAUUUUUGACCAAAAAUCGACUAAUUUGGGGUUCUCACUCUGACGGCAAACCCUUCUGCGGUGGGGGAUGAUGUGGCUCAGCACAGCGCAGCACAAGGAGGCAAUUAAACGUGAUGAAAGUUGAAAAUGAAAAAUAAAAAUAAAUAUUGAGCAAAUAGUGGUGUUGAUUAACAUGGAUGCUCUCAAAUCUUUCUGUCUCCAGCCAGUCUCCAGUGGGUUGAGCGAAUCCAAAAUGGUUAAGAUAAGAGGGGUGUUCUGAGACAGGCUGUUACCUGUGAAAAGAAGGUGCUCUGAAAACACCCCCAUUAGCACUUGGUAUGUUCCUCCUGAUGAAAUUAGCCAUAGACUGUAAAUUGACACGAAAAAACAUCAAGUCCACCAAUCAGAAUUUUGGUCGACACAGCACGUAUCAACCAAUAACAGCCCUUACUGCCACUCCGAAAGGUUCAUUUUCUGAAUUUCACAUUUAGUUUUGUAGGGAUGAUUUUGAGACAGUAAAGGAGAAAGCAUUGUAGCCCAGCAGUGAAUUGAAUGGUUGCAAAGCUGAACCAGAGCAAACAAUUCUGUUCCUUUGGGGACUCACAGUUACACCCUGUGACUCGGCCAGCUCCCUGUCACACAAGUAGUCCAGUGCCAGUGGAUAAAAUACCAAAGCCAGUUCUGGGACCCGCUGGUGUAAACAAACCCUUUUACAGGAAAAUUAAAAAGAGGGGAACUGAUGAUCCUGGACAUAAUAUGAGCUGCCAAAAUGCAGAGUACCACACAUGCACACUAGAUAAAAUCUAAGCGGUAGACCUGGCCGCUGUGAUAUCAACAAGUUGGUGCGCUUUAGCUGUAGCUGACUAUAGAGAAAAACUGUAGUUCAGCUGUAUGGUUGUUGACAUGUUCUUAUGUUUCCUUUUAUGAAAUAAAUCUAUUCAUUAUUCAUUCAUGCUUUUCAUUAAACUGAAUUUGAAGCCUCAACAUGAUAUAACAUCUUAACAUCAUGACUCUAGACUGAUCUUUAGAAAUCAAACCUGAAAGUAGCAUGUUUCAUUUCACUCUCAGUUGGGUAUUUUAUAUAAAAAGGCUUAAGAGUAUACUUGUAUCCAGCUCAUCAUGGAACAGCAUUUCACAAACACUUCUCUGUAGCUCCAUUCUUCAGCUCAGGGACUGCCAGCCUAUCUGCUCAUGCUAGAGGCAUCCCUGAGCCUGCAUGUGCAUUCAGGAAGUGUACUGUGUAUUCAUGUGUUUGACCUCACAAAUUCAAUCUUGCGGCUGUGGUUUCAGGUGAAAGCAGCCCUGCAGUGGAGAAUAUGUGUUUCAUUAAUUUGCAGUGGUGACCUCCUGAGUUGUUCACCUUCAUCAGGCCUGCAACUGAAUCCUAAAAUCGCUCUCCACCGCAGCAAGUACCUCUGUCAGAGUAAGUAAUGGGUGAGUGGGAGGCUCCGUGGGGAUAUGGAGGCCACAGGUUCAAUUUUGGAAAACUUAUACUAGUGUCUGUCGAUGAGCUUGUGUAUUUGUGCAGCGGGAGUUCAAGCCAAGUGGCUCUACUUCGUGAAUGUACUCUUGGUGAUAAGGGCCACAGCUGAAGAGGACAUGUGGGUGAGCCAGUGGAGGUGAUGGGUUAUUAAGACCUGAGGUGAAAAGGUGGGGUCAAGAUCAGGGCGCAAAGGAACCAAGGGCAGGAUCAUGGAUUACUUCUUACUUCCUGGGAGAUUGCUUUGGAACACAUAGAUGCAGCCUUGGAGUUAAUAAACAGCUAUGUGUGUGUGUGUAAGUGUGUGUGUGUGCAGUGAUUGUGAGGGGCGUUGUUGCAGAGUAUUGAAUAAAAAGUGAUAAAACUCCAACUUUAGUUUGAGACUGUAGACUCUCCUUCUUCCCAGACACUUGGUGCAUUGCAGUGAACAAGUGUCUGCAUCUGCAGUGAAGCAAAUACAGAAAGAGCUUAUGAUUUCACACAGGACUCCAGGUACUGCUUCACAUCCUAGUUACAGAUGUUUUCACGAAGCCUUUCAUGUGCUCCAUGUGCAUUUUUUCUACCCCUGAUGUAAAAUUGUUCUGCAACCCAAAAAGUAGAUAGCAUUCCUCUCCUGAUGUGUGUUCUCCUGCCAGUGAUUUAGCAUGCACACUAAUCCACUUAGAUCUACAGUGAGCCUGCACAGACUGUAAAACUAAAAGUAACAUUUGUACAUGAAAUGUCACCCCAGAUUUACAGAAUCUGAGAUGCUUUGCACAUUUUUCAGAGACUGAGUUAAAUUCUCAUCCAGCUUACUGCGAGCAUAACAUAUUUGUACCACAGCUCAUGAAUGGAAAGCACAGUGAAGCUCAAGGGGCUUUCCACAUGGCAUCAAUAUUCAUGGCAAAAUAGUAACAAUAAAUAUACUCGGGUAUUCUUUAUUUUGACAUGCAUUCUCAAAAGUUUUGUGUGUUUGAAACUCUGCAAUCCUGCCGUAUCAGAACUGUGUGGAGGAGGUUUGAUUAGACCUGAUUGAGAUGAACAAACAACCCUGCUGAGCCUGUCAUCAGAUUGUGAUUCAGAAGUUGCCCAAGCCUGAUAGGUUUGUUGAAACAUGAGAAAUCAAUUUGCACUGCAUCCGGACACAGCUGAUGAUUCCUUUCAUAACAAAGCAUCAUAAAAGAUGUAGUCUUCUUCUUUAAUGUUACCAAAGAGUGUGGUCUAAACCUGAUUUUUCAAAGAAUGCCUUUAUAAAUGCACCUUAUGAAUAAAGAUUAAUUGAUUGAUUUGAACUAUUAAAAUACCACAAUGGUAUCACAAUUAGCAACAAUGCCCUCAAGUCUAUUUUUGGAGGGGCUCCCAUAUAAAAGAAAGGUUAAAACUGUUUUCCUGUGUGAUAACCUCCAAUGGGUUCAGCAAUGAGCUUUUUUGUGCAACUGUGAAGCUCUUUCAAAUACCAUCUGUAUUUUUCCAUCCUAAGGGUGACCAUAAAUCCUGUUUUACCCAGACAUGUUCUCUUUUAGGACAUGUCCUUCAAAUGUCCACGGUGUUAUAUGGAAGUUUUGAGUUGUGUACCGUGGACUAACUAAGUAAGAAACGCAUAAAAAGAAUUCAACCCGACCAGAAAAACCCUCAAGACUUUGAGUGCAACUCCGCCCGUGUACUCGUGUCCUCUUUUGAGUGAUUCAGAAUAUGGUCACUCUAGCCAUCCUGCCAACUGCAGGUGAGCUCAGCUUACAGGAACAUUUCAAUCUCUCUCAUUUCUGCAUUUAAAACAUUGUCUUCUUCAUCAUAAAUAGUGUAAUGUUCUGCUGUUAAUGCGCACUAGUGUUUGUUAUAGAGGUUACACAGCCAGUAAUAGAAGAGGGUAGAGAACCCAGAUCGUUACCUAGAUCCUCACGCUUGAGUUUGAUUGCUCCUUGAUCUGUUGUUAAUGCCUUUGUGAUCCAGUAGGGGGCCCACACUCUGCUUCAGAGUGAGAGAAAAGAGCAACAUAUGUGUGGUUUUCCUCAUUCUAAAAUCACCACUAUUUCCCUUAAUUAAGGGUAUGACAUCUACUUGUCGAUGUCUACUCAUCUACUUAUCCAGGAAUCAAACCUGCACUUCGUAAGCUUUAAUACACCAUUGUUUUCUUCAAAUUUCUGUAAGUUGAUGAGGUAGAAACCUCUUAAAAGUGGUGCCACCAGCUUGGUUGCCAUGUCUUUGUAUCUAACAGGCUUGGUACAGUACAUGCAGUGGGUUACAGAAGUCAUACUACUGGUAUUUUUGUCUGGAAUGAGGAUGUUCCAGUUUACCGGUAUUGGUGAUAACUCUCUUUUUAUUUUUAUUUUUUAUAGUUAUAUAUAUGCUUAAAAAAGAGCAUGCGUCUUUAUUUUGCAUCAAUAAUAUGUUUUAACUAGAAAAUUCCCUCUGGGGUUACUGCCAGGGUGUGUGUGCUAUAAUGAAAUUCUUCAGAGAUUUCAAAUAAUUUAUACUUUUACCACUGUGAUAUUAUACAAGGAGCACAACUACAAAAAAUGUCUUUUUUGAAUUAUUUAUUUAUUAUACAGAAAAAAAAUAGCCAGAGCAGUAGAUGUUUGAAAAACUCCAAUAACUGCUUUUUUUAACUUGUUCCCUUGACUUCAAUGCAAGUUUUUCAGGAUUUUAUUUUCGCAAUUACUGUCUUCAAAAAUUCAUAUACAAUAGAGAAAAGUAAUAGAACACCAAUCCUGAUCAAACUGCAUGUUUUGAGUUAUGAUUUGUCCUACAUCUCCUCAAGCUGUAGGAUUAAUAGCAAAUUUAAAUUUGUCAGGAAAAGGAAUGAGAAAAAUAUCCAUAGUAUAACAAAAGUGCUUUGGUGCAUUGGCCCUGAUUAACUAUAAUGUAUUUAAGGAAACAUUAACCAUAAUUAUUUUCUCCUUCUCCUCAGAAAAAACCUUUCACAUGACUUUUUAAAUGUAUUGCAGGGAGUGAAAUGGCUAUUUGAAUAACAUUUGCUUUACAUUUUGGGUUGUAACGCAAAUAUUUUGUAUUCAUUACCAAAGCCUUUAUCUUAUUUUGAGGUUAAGCCUGUCUAUUAUGAGUAAACUGCUUAUUCUAACAGUAAAGUUUGUACUGGCAGUGCUGGAGAGAAAGAAAAAUAUGUUGUAGAUAAAUGCAACAAAGUAACACUAUACAGUCAAGAUGGAGAGGAUUAACCUUGAAUCGCUCAACAAACCGCCCAUUUAAAGUGGGGAAAUGGCUUUGGAAGGCAUUUCAUGACCAGUGGGCAGGUGCUAUCACUGGGAUGGAUGGGCUGAAGGAAACCGUGAGAUAGAGAGAUAGAGGAACAACUGUGAGCUGGUCUCAGCUAUAGGGUGAGAUGAAAUCAGCGUGGGACUGACAGGGCGAGGAUAGGAUGUUAAGGAGGAGCAGUGGGGAAGGUCAGAGGGUUGAGGAGAAAGGCAGCAGGGGAAAAAGGGGUCCGGCGGGCAGAUUGCCAUGCCGACCACUGAUAAGGAUUGGUACCUAUGGGUGGUGGCACCAAGUAGUUGUUUACCCCAAGGGGUGCUCUGCGAAAUAAAAUGCAGGAGAAGCAAUUGAAAUUUAAAGGAGAUGGUAUAAGGAAGAGAUGAGAUGGAGUAAAGCUACUAAAUGUUAAUGAAUUUGUCCUUGGUGAGAUCUUUUUUGUUUAUGGGGUGUGAUAAAUUGUGAAAAUGCACCCUGAUUAAACAGAAAUCUGCCUCAUUUAAGGCAUUCAAAAGAUUAAAGAACCAAGAAUAACCCCAAUUAUUUCAGUAACAAGUAAUUCUUUGGGAGGAAAACACACUGCAUCUUCUGGAAUAAUGUUUUAUUCAAUAUUUCUUGCUGUGUGAUGCUAUUUCAACAACAAUGAGAUCAAUGUUAGCGUUUCCCUUGUUCAGUUACUUUGGUAUUCUAAUGCAGUAAGACAAUGAAUUACGAACUUUGUACUUUCACAGACUUUGGCUUGAUAAAAGUUUUGCCUUAAACUCAUUAAACUUCAACACAAAAGUUGACUCAAUUCGCUUGUGUUCAGUAACAUUAUUUUUAAGGACCGUUAUCGAUGGACUAGUGCCAUGUGAAAGAGCUACUUUCAGAUUUGGAAUAGAUCUCACUCCAAGUGUCUCAAACUCAAAGAAAAGUUUAAGAAGCUUUCUGAAAACUGUAUGUUAGUUUCAGAUAUUUUAUGCCAUAUAAAAACACUGACAUUUAUACCCGUCCAAUGUCAGAUCGUCAGCAUCAUCCUUUUCACUCUGCUGUAGUGAUGCUCAAGUGUGCCCCCGGAUAUCAAUGUCACAGCUACAGUGUGGUCUAAUGUGCAACAAAUCACACUUCUGACCAAACACAACCCGCAUCACUGAUGCCUGCUGAAAACAGCUCUGCUGCCCGAUGUGAACUUCAAGUUCACUUUUCAUGUCUUAAAAAAACUUUUCAAGGGCUUUGAACUGUUUGCGUGUCAAGCUUUGAGAGUUUUUGAGAUGUGCUGUGUCUCCCCAAAGUUGAAUGUGGGUGUGUUCAUGAUCUCUGGACUCUACAUUGGCAGAAUCAUUUAUAAUCAUCUGUCAGAGUACCUUGGUGAAUUAAAUAAUGAUAUAGCUAAGCCAGAAUGUAGUGCUGCUAGAGAUAAUGGCUUUAGAUCUGGCUUGUAGGCUUUUGUUUUAUUGAAGGUGCAGUCUGUAGUAUUCUGCUGCAUUGAAUAGAACACACUCGGUUGAAAUGGGAUGUAAUAUACUUAAACUAAGCCUGACAUAAGUUCAGGUAGGAAUGGGUUUUGCUGCUGUUGUUCUCCCUGCUGCAGACUUUGGCGUUUAAGUGGGUGGAAGGACAGGGAGCCCCCAGAAAAGAGCCCUAAUAGGGCGCUCACACCAAGCGCGAGUAAACUCGUCUACACGCUUAAUUUGCAUGAAUCUAGACGUGUAAAUGAAUAUUAUUUACUCAUUUAAUUUAACAGUAAUUUCAACAGUAAUCCCUGCCAAUUCAAAAUGGGAUCAAGUGAUAGGUAAUCCGACCGCCUCACUCACUGGCGAACUCCUUUUUAUCCCAGUUCCGUAAUUGAAAGAAAAAGUAUCACAUUAUUCGGGGCACCCACACACCAACACGAUCAGUUUGUACUCCAUCCUGGAUACCAGUGAACAACCCUCCAUUUUCAUACAUCACCCAUUAACUUUCAUGUUGAUUGGUUAUCGCAACCCAACCCCUCAAGUUGAGAAAUUUUCAGCUCCAGCCCAAUUGGCGUCAUUCGUGCUGCAAGAGUUGUAGGGGCGUCUAAUUGCGUCUAUGCAUUGACUUAACAUGUAAUUCAAUCGCACAAGUGAUUUUAAUCGCGCUUGGUGUGUGGAGACAGUAAUGCUUAACGUAGCUUAUGCUCUACAAAGUAUAUGCUUUUUAUUCAUCUUAAUAGACGAGCAUAAGGAGUGCAGACUGAAUCUUACCACCUCAGGGGUGCUGCAGAUGCAUCACAAAUAAGCAAAACAAAAUUGAGUAUUUCACUUCCUGUCAAUUCCUAUUAUACAUACAUGAAGUUUUAAAGGGCCUGACUUUUGAGGAUUUGUAAAUGCUUUGACUGAUCACACAAUAGGUUUUACCAGCAAGGUAUGCUGCAUACUGUUCCCAUCAUGAGACAAAACAGCGAUUAAAAAUUAGCAUUUAAUCCCUGGAGGAAUGUAAUGAUUCUAGGUAGCUGUAAGCUCUGACAUAUUUACUUAAGUUCCCCUCAGCACUGUGAGGGGCCCCCCUUGCAAUCAGAGCUGCAUUUACUUUUCCUUAUAAGCACAGACUCUUUAUCAGUGUAUGAGCAGAAAAUACAGAGAGAGAACAGAGGCAGAAUAACGGUGUGGAGGACAAUGAGGUGGGUGGGUGAGCGAGCAGAAAAAGAGCCACUUUAACUGUUUGGGAUUAGAAAUAAAAUAUAUUACCCUCAAAAAAUGAAGCACAUUAUUGAACGGGCUCAUACAUUCACAGAUGAGAACUCCCAAGCAGCAUGAAAUAUGUAUCAGGCUGAGAUAUGGUUUUCUCUCAGAAUAAUAAUCAACACUGUGGACAGCACAGAGCAGUAAAGACAAAAUCAAAUUCCACAGCCACCCGCAGACACAGAGUAAGCUGCUCGCAUCGCAGCCACUAGCAGCUCCCUCCCAGGGGGAAUCUAAAUUAUGUUGCUAGGCUCAAAGUUCAUGCAGGCUAGACAAAGUUGUCAUUGAAACACCAACUGUGUGUGUGAGCCUCCAGCUGCUGCCUGCUAGUUAAGCUGUCAGAAUGUCUGAGUUUCUGAAUAGAGAGCACCAUUUCAAAUCUUUUGGGAAAAAUUUGUUAAGAAAUGUCGAAGGUUUUACUCCGUCUCUAUCUGGAGAGCCUGUACUGUGUAUUUUACAUAUAAAUGUGUUUGUGUUUACAAGACUUGUAAAUGUUGCCACCUUGUGAUAAAAUACUUAGCAGCGAUACUUCUGCCAUUUCCCAGAUAUUUGCAUAUUUGCUGAAAAACAACAACGGUUGGCGCAUUGCUUUUCAAAGCAGCUUCACCAGUUAUUGCUCACGGGGUCACGUCGGGUUGGAAACGCCAUCAAAUAUCCACUGUUGGCGAUUCAUCAACAUUGUAAUUCGGCAUGAGAAUGGCUUUCCAUUUCUUUACUGGCAAUAGCUGAAAUAACUGGCUGGAAGUGAAUGUAUAAAUGAUUCAGAGCAAACACUGCGGGGGUGAAAGUGGUUAACUGUUCAGCAGAGGCGAGUAGAAAUUAGGAAAGGUGCCAAAAUUUGACCUGUUUUGCAGUCUACGAUGAGCAAGGGAUAAGGGCUUAGUGUGUAAUAAACUACAGCAAAUAGUGCAGCUGUAAAAACACUAAACUAGAAAUGCAGCAAAUGUGUGAAAAAAGCAUCAUCAAGCAAUUUAAUGCCACUAACAAAAGCACAAAUUACCCUCAGUGAAAACCAAGCAUUCUGUAUGUGUCCUAAAAGGAUGUUUCUACUCCCCAUUGACCCAUGAUGUAGCUUCAUCGUGUUGCAUGAUGACCACCAGCAGGUACAGGGUGACCAGGUAUACGCCCAGCUGCAGUACAUUCUGCAAAUUAUUGCAACCCCUUGAUUUUGUUGUGUUAGUUUAGCCUUUUUACUAAAACUCAAAUCAUUUACCACUGUGCUCCAAACGCUCCGGAAAAACGCAUUAGGAAUGGAGUUUUAAUGGAUAUUGAGCAUUUAGUUUAGUCUCAUUUGGUAUUUGACCAACUCCAUCUGUACUGUUUGUGCUACUUUGCUGUCAGCUGUCUAUUUCUUAUUAUUCAGGAGAAUGGGAUUUACAGAUAAAUAGAAACUUGCUAUUCAAAUGAGCAAAUCAAAAAUGCCCAUUUGGUCUCAGUGUACUUAGUCUUCUUAAUAUGGAAUAGCCUAUUAAACUUGAUUAAGGUUAGAGAAGCAGUGCCUGACAGUCAGUUAAAGGAAAUAAUCUAACUUGAUUUGAGUAACCCCUAAUUUCCACCACAUCUGGAACAGCUCCGCGGUGGAACGGUGGCAAUUUUCACUGUUUGCCAAUUCCUACCGGGUGUGUUUGUGAGGCGUUUGUUUCAGACAGUGGGAAUCGCGAGAACUCAUAAGAACCUGCGGAUUCGCAUGCAAUGGCACAAUAACGAGUUGUCUCUAUAAAGACAGUUACAUAACCAUAUAAGCAGCAGAUUGUGUCCUUCCAGAGGAGGAAAUCCACUUCUAGACUUAUAGAAUCAGCAUCUCCUCAUCCAUGGUGUCAACGGGGUGAAAUGAUGUCUGAAAACCUAUGACUUGUUCAUCCCUGCCCACGUUUGCAAGGUGUGAAAUAUGGUCCGCCUGAAACACGUAGUGUUUUAUUUUGAAAAGAAGCUAGAUGUUUUAUUUUGUGUCUGUGCCCGACUUCCUUUCCAGCAUGGGCUAAUCUGUGCUGAAUCCAUGCAGCAUGCUGUAGCGUCCAGAAAAAAUAGAACCCUCACGAUCGGCUGGGGAGUCCACUGAACCGCAGCGGGACGGAAAGAAGCCAGUGGAAAUUGACACAUUAACUUGAAUGGAAACGAUCAGCUGUGACUGGUGCAUAUGGCCUCUUCUGCGCGGUUCUGGAUGCGGUGGAAAUUGGGGGUUAGAAUCAGUUUCCUGUGUUACUGUCAGACAUUUAGCGGAUUGAUCCAGUCACACUAAGCUCAUCUCAUUGGAGGCUUUGUGGUUUAACAGAGAAAGGAUCUGACUUCCACUGUGACAAGGACUAUGGCCUCUGUACAUUGGAGAACCGGCUUUGCCAAUAAACAAACUGGCCAACCUUUGUGGCUUUAGUCAUGAUGCAAGCUAUUUCAAUCAAUCACAGUUUUACCUUGUGCUUAUUUUUGCUUCUAUCAAUAUGUCUUUUUUUCUUGACCAUUAUUAUCAAUACCCAUACUGUAUAUCGCAGCGGCCCUGCUUGGCUCUAACCAACACGACAUUUUAGAGCUGCCAGGCUUUGUGGCAGCCAGAGCGGCUUAAAGUCUCCUUGUCCAUUAAAUACGUGUGGCUCAUGCAAAUCUCUCCACUUUGCACAACGCUCACAACAGCCGAUUGUACACUACCUACUCAGCAUGAAAUGGCAGAGAACCAAGGUAAACAGACGAACAUCUGUCCAGCUGGAAUCUUGGGGUUCAAAUUAAUUUUAACAUCUGCUGAGAAACAUUGUUCGUAGAUUGCCCAUGUUGCUCUGUUUCUGCUAAUUGUUGACGGUCUUUUAAUGUUUAAACACAGAUAACCACAGCAGAAUGACAAACGAUAUGAAGGCUUUCAGCUGAGUUGAUAUUUUCUGCCCCCAGUGCUCCCCCAAUUGCUAAAAGCAGCUUUAAUGAAGAACAAUGUCAAGAAAGGAAGAUUUCCACAUGAAGAAUGACAGGUAGAAGAAAAUCUAAGUGAUUUAUUAAAGGAUCUCAUUAGCCUGGGAUCAAAGGGCACCUGAGUGAAACGUUCACAGUUCACGUCUUGUCUUACACGGAGGAGCAGCUGGGAAAUACAAAAAAGUGAAAGAACCCUCUGUUGAGGAAUUCAAUUGCUUUCGACAUUUCAGCGGCUCCGGCAGUCACUGAUAAAGUUAAUAGCUAAGAGAACUGGGAAUUGUGACUCCUUCACAUCCUGACAAGAGUGGGAGAAGAAGAAUCAGAGCCGAAGCAGAGUUGCAGGGAAGCACUUAUUUACAUCUGAUCUUUUAGCUCCAUCUUCCUGUUGACAGAAAUGAGACAUGGCUGCAGCUAAGUUGUUUCACUUCUCAGCAUUGCAGACUGACAGCUCUCUGGGGGCCAAGAUUUGCGGCAUCUUGAUAUCUCAAUGAUUCCUAAUUCCUUUGAUAAUAUUCUUCUUGUUUUUUAGUGACAUACCGUAUCAUUUUACCACAUAUUGCUGUCACUUUCCUUCUUCAAAAGACGCCAUGUUUGCGAGGCCUCAUCGACUGUGGUGCCGGCUCUAAUGCAGUGCACUUUUCACUUGGCUGUUAGCUAUUUGGACACUGACACUUUUUGAUGGUUUAAUUAUUUGCUCUUAUCAUUUCGGCUGUCAAAUCACACUCCAGCUCUGAGGUUAAUGUACCAGAAGCUUUGCUUGAUGAUGAUUUUUUCCCCCUACAUCUUCAUGAGAUGAAUUCUUGUGAGAGUGACAGCACCGGAAUUACAUAGUUCACAAUUUCUGUUCCAAAUCUGACAGUGAAGCGAGUUUGAGUGUUUAAUACAGUAUUUAAAUUAACUAUUUUUUUUAUUCCCUCAAAUACCAUCAGGCUUGAUACUUUGUCGGUACUUGUUCAUAUUUUAGAGUAUCCACUUUGAAUUUGUAACAGACUCUUGACUCUUGAUAGGUUUUAAUGGACGAAGAGAAGCAAACGUAAAUAGUCCCACACCGCCACUUAUACCUUGUAUUGUCAAUUUUAUCACUGUUGUUCAGGGAAAAUAUGGGAAGGUUAAAGCUCUCUUUCUCUUUUCUUCACCCCAUAGCCUCCUCGGGUCUGCCGUUAUACCGAGCAGUUCAUCUGGUAGGUCACGAACGACUAUUUCUUGCUUAGCUGGGCCUCAUGACACAUCAUUAAAAAAGCCUUAAAGUGAUAUUCUGGCAAAAAACUUAGUUAGGGUCAAACACACCCAAACACACUUAGACACCCCCUCAAGAGAUAAAUGUUGCCGACUGUUUGCUUCUCUAGUUAUACCAACUUCAGCAACGACCGCAUGAUACACGUGCAAACCUCAACCAAAAAGC